rnacentral:rRNA from 1 species
ACGUUAGCGGCGGACGGGUGAGUAACACGUGGGUAACCUACCUAUAAGACUGGGAUAACUUCGGGAAACCGGAGCUAAUACCGGAUAAUAUUUCGAACCGCAUGGUUCGAUAGUGAAAGAUGGUUUUGCUAUCACUUAUAGAUGGACCCGCGCCGUAUUAGCUAGUUGGUAAGGUAACGGCUUACCAAAGCGACGAUACGUAGCCGACCUGAGAGGGUGAUCGGCCACACUGGAACUGAGACACGGUCCAGACUCCUACGGGAGGCAGCAGGC